GUGGCUGUAGCUCAGUUGGUUAGAGCGCCUGACUGUGGCUCAGGAGGUCGUGGGUUCGAAACCCAUCAGCCACC
rnacentral:tRNA from 2 species